CUUUUGCUGUCCCGCUUGAGGCUUGACACUGCUUCUAAUGGAUCUGCUGCAACAUUUAAUUCUUCCUCCCAGCAUGAAGGCAAUGAAGGAUGCCCUUCUGGUUGGGUUAUUUCUCCAAAUAACAUUAAAUGCUUUGGAUACACUGAAAGUCUCCGGUCAUGGAAUGAAUCCGAGGUCCACUGUAAACAAUAUCAUGGACACUUAGCGGCCCUAACACCAUACGAAGAAUUGAGCUUUGCACAACAUCUGUGUGGUAU